GCAGAUUCUCUACUGAACUGAACAAAGGAGUUCCCUCUGUACAGGUCAGCCCUCUGUGUUUUAGCUCAGCACUGAUUGCGGCAACUAAGGUGCUGGCAGUCAGAACUAUAGCUAGUUAAGGGGAUAAUUGGUGGUAGGAUUGUGAGGACAGAGGACCAGAGAGCUUUGUGAUCAUUUGUGUAAAGCUUGUUCAACCAGCAGCUAAACGUUUUGGUGUCCUUGCUCUAAGGAACAUUUUAUAUUACGGUGACCUUACAUUUAUGGCUUUUCCAGGUCAUUUGAGCCUUGUUUAGACCUGUGCCUUAAAAAUAAACAAACGUCAGAAAGAAAAUCAAUACCAUAGAUGGAAGAGUUCAUGCAUUUCAGAGUCUCAGAGAUGAGUGAUGGGUACGUGCUACCUCAUGCAGAAAAACUUCAUUGUUCUUGCUGCUGAUCAGAUUGGAGGAGGAUGCACUUCACGUUUCUGCUUGGGGCAGAACUGCUCCAAACAGUGAUAAACUCUGUGGUAUUCAAGAGAGGAGCUUCUGCCAACAUAGAGUGAGUGUUGUUUCAAGAAACAGUUUUGACCUGGGUGAUAGAACUAAAAUGAGGAAUUCUUUUCUCCACAAAAGACUGAGAACACAUGAGGUAACUGGCAAUUACUGGGAUUCAUUCAAAAUACAUUAUUUCAUACAUAAUAUAAUCAUGUGAAAUAUUGAAGAUAGAAUAGAAAAUGCUGUGAAGUGCAGGUGCUCUGUUUGUUUGUAGGUUGAGAUGUGUGUGUACAGAUAAAUAAGGUUUAGUUCAGGAACAGACAUUUUUAUAUACUGGAGUGUUUAGAAUUCAGACAAAGAAAUGUUCCAGUACUGGGUCCACGCGAGCAGAUAAGAGCCAGCAGUGCAGAGACAAGUUUGCUCUUUGCAGUAUGGAGCUAUACAGAAAUAACAAGGAGCUAGGUCUGGAUCAAGGCAGUAUAAAGCAGAGCUAGCCUGAGCUCAUUAGCCUGGGCGUAAUGCCAUGCUAAUAUAUCUACACAACUCCCCGAACCCGAGCUAAUGGCUCAGCAUGGUGCUAUACAGGGUACUCGCACCAGCUGGUGCAGGGAUUUCUGCAUUGUACAGUAUAAAUGUGCCAUAAGGUUUUCACACCAGCUCUGUAAAGAAAGCAAAAUGACUUAGGGGCAAGACAAGAUUCAAGACUUUGAAAACCAGAGAUGUUUAAAUCUGGGUUCCCAAAUCCCUGUUCAUACUUAUGAGG
rnacentral:lncRNA from 1 species